ACUGGAAUCCUGGUGUUUGUGGGAAAUGUGAAGGAUGCUUCUCCCAGGAUUCUACAACAGUGUUGUCCUGAUGACUGAGGUAUUUUUUUUUUUUACUUUCCUGCCUCUUUGUAACAUGUCCAUUUACGCAUACUGUGUAGAGGUGGUGCGCAGCUUCAUGGACAUUUAAGGUUUUCUGCCGAUGAAGAGCUUCUGGGACAUUGACAUAAACAGCACUUAAAAGGUGGUGACAGACAAUUUUGGUUUUCUUGUUUUUGUGCCUUUGGAAUUCAUUGGGUUUUGUUGUUGUUGUUGUUGGUGUUGGUGUUGUUGUUGUUUUUUUCUUUUCAAAAUUACAUUCACUGUAAUGCUGGAGUAAGAUUUUAGAAGAAAACUUUUGGUCCUGUUUAAUGUUUGUGCUAGUAAAGGUUGCAGAGCUUAUAAGUAACAAGGUUUACAAAAGGUAACACUUUACAAAAGGUCUCGCUUGUUAACGUCAAUUAAUAUAUUAGACAACAUUAUCUAACUAUGUGCAUUAACGUUUUUACAGUAUAUAUCAAUAUUUGUUAACAUUAGGCAAUAAAAAUAUUUUUUUUCAAGUUAAUAAAAUGUAUAGUUAUUGUUCAUGUUAGUUUACAGUGCAUUAUCUAUUAACAUAUGCAACUUUUGAUUUUAAUAAUGCAUAAGUAAUAUUAACUAGGAUUUAUAAAUGCUUAAAGUAUUUUCAUUCAUAGUUCAUGUUAACUAAAGUAGUUAACUAAUAGAAAAUUAUUGAACAGUGUUACCCAAAGUUUUGAAUCUUUUCUUUUCUUUACAUUUUGUUUGUAUUAAUUCAUGGGUGUUAUCUUAUUUAUCAUCUUAUACAGAAUGAUUUUAUCUGAAAAUGUAAAAAUGCAGAAAGAUUGUGAUGGGUAGGUUUAGGUACCUUUGUAUGUGAUGGAGAAAAUUAUAGUGCAUAUACAGUAAGCCUCACUGACCUCCAGACUCUUUCUAAAUGAGAGUUAAAGUGUUGUAAUUGUUUGUGAUUGUGUAUAGUGUUUCUUGGGUUUUUCUUGUGCAUCAACAAAAAGGUUUUUGUGCAUUUGUUUUAGAGAUUAUUUUGUCAGUAAAUGUAGAGGGUUUCAAUUUGCA